rnacentral:rRNA from 1 species
AUUCCAGCUCCAAUAGCGUAUAUUAAAGUUGUUGCGGUUAAAAAGCUCGUAGUUGGAUUUCGAUCGGGAACUGGUGGUCCAUCUUUUGGAUGUGCAUCUACAUAGGUCUUGGUCUCUUCUCAGUUCACGUUUCUGCGCUUGAUUGCGUGGUGCGGUGUCUGGGACUUUUACUUUGAGGAAAUUAGAGUGUUCACGGCAGGCAUACGCCUUGAAUAUAUUAGCAUGGAAUAAUACUAUAGGAUCUUGGUUCUAUUUUGUUGGUUUCUAGAGCUAAGAUAAUGAUUAAUAGGGACAAUUGGGGGCAUUCGUAUUGACGAGUCAGAGGUGAAAUUCUUGGAUUUCGUCACGACGAACUACUGCGAAAGCAUUUGCCAAGGAUGUUUUCAUUA